rnacentral:misc_RNA from 1 species
GAAAUGCGAUAAGUAAUGUGAAUUGCAGAAUUCCGUGAAUCAUCGAAUCUUUGAACGCACAAUGCGCCCUCUGGCAUUCCGGGGGGCAUGCCUGUCCGAGCGUCAUUACGCACCCUCAAGCCCGGCUUGUGUGAUGGGCCCCGGCGUCUCGUUCGCGAGACGGGCCCGAAAGGCAGCGGCGGCGUCGACCCGAUGAGCCCGAGCGUAUGGGGACUUCUGUCACACGUUCGUGGUGCGGACCGGCGCCUGCUUGACUUUUCUGAUUAUCCAGGUUGACCUCGGAUCAGGUAGGGAUACCCGCUGAACUUAAGC